rnacentral:rRNA from 1 species
GUAGGUGGCAAGCGUUGUCCGGAAUUAUUGGGCGUAAAGCGCGCGCAGGCGGUUCUUUAAGUCUGAUGUGAAAGCCCACGGCUCAACCGUGGAGGGUCAUUGGAAACUGGAGAACUUGAGUACAGAAGAGGAAAGCGGAAUUCCACGUGUAGCGGUGAAAUGCGUAGAGAUGUGGAGGAACACCAGUGGCGAAGGCGGCUUUCUGGUCUGUAACUGACGCUGAGGCGCGAAAGCGUGGGGAGCAAACAGGAUUAGAUACCCUGGUAGUCUACGCCGUAAACGAUGAGUGCUAAGUGUUAGGGGGUUUCCGCCCCCCUUAGUGCUGCAGCUAACGCAUUAAGCACUCCGCCUGGGAGUACGGCCGCAAGGCUG